ACCAAGGUUUCCGUAGCGAAACCUGCGGAAGGAUCAUUG
rnacentral:rRNA from 1 species